GACGAACGCUGGCGGCGUGCUUAACACAUGCAAGUCGAACGGAAAGGCCUCUUUCGGGGGGUACUCGAGUGGCGAACGGGUGAGUAACACGUGAGUAACCUGCCCUUGACUUUGGGAUAACUUCAGGAGACUGGGGCUAAUACCGGAUAGGAGCUCCUGCUGCAUGGUGGGGGUUGGAAAGUUUCGGCGGUUGGGGAUGGACUCGCGGCUUAUCAGCUUGUUGGUGGGGUAGUGGCUUACCAAGGCUUUGACGGGUAGCCGGCCUGAGAGGGUGACCGGCCACAUUGGGACUGAGAUACGGCCCAGACUCCUACGGGAGGCAGCAGUGGGGAAUAUUGCACAAUGGGUGGAAGCCUGAUGCAGCAACGCCGUGUGCGGGAUGACGGCCUUCGGGUUGUAAACCGCUUUCGCUCAUGACGAAGCUUUGUGUGACGGUAGUGGGUAAAGAAGCACCGGCUACUACGUG
rnacentral:rRNA from 1 species